rnacentral:rRNA from 1 species
AACGAACGCUUGGCGGCAGGCUUUACACAUGCAAGUCGAACGAUUAAAGCUCCUUCGGGAGUGUAUAAAGUGGCAAACGGGUGAGUAACACGUGGGAAUAUACCUUUUGGUCUGGGACAACAGUUGGAAACGACUGCUAAUACCGGAUGUGCUCUACGGAGGAAAGAUUUAUCGCCAAAAGAUUAGCCCGCGCUAGAUUAGCUUGUUGGUGAGGUAAUGGCUCACCAAGGCUCCGAUCUAUAGCUGGUCUGAGAGGAUGAUCAGCCACACUGGGACUGAGAUACGGCCCAG